rnacentral:misc_RNA from 1 species
AACGCAAAUUGCACUCUCUGGCAACCCGGGGAGUAUGCCUGUUUGAGGGUCAGUGUUAAUAAAAAUCGGUGCGUCGCAAUUUUUUUGUGAUGUUUCCGGAGUUUGAGUUAUCUUAACUCUUCUGGGUUUUUAAGAGGCUUAAAAUUGACCUUUUUUUUGUGCAUUUUUAGACGUACAUAAAUUUUUUUUUAUUCGUCUAUCUUAAUGCCAAAAUCUAUUAGAUGCGACCAUAUCAUGUGGUUUCGUGUCUAUAAAUUUUUCAUGAUUUGACCUCAAAUCAGGUAGGAACACCCGCUGAACUUAA